GUCAAUAUUAUGCAAGAAGUCCACUUGGUGCGUGACAAGCAAAAUGGUUUUAUCUUUAAGAAUUCCCCUCACACAUUCCUUGAAGAUCUCAGAGCCAGUGUGAGCAUCAACUGCACUGAAGACAUCAUCAAGUAAAUAAAUAUCACAGUCCUGAUAAACAGCUCUUGCAAGCUGAAUUCGCUGUUUCUGGCCGCCACUGAGAUUGAUGCCACGCUCUCCUAUUUCAGUCUGGUCUCCAAACUCCAUCAUUUCCAAGUCCUUCUCCAAGCAACAAACCCGGAUUACUU
rnacentral:misc_RNA from 1 species